rnacentral:rRNA from 1 species
AUGCCUCCAUGGGCCGUGCCAUGCCGGCCCGUUUGGCCAGGUCCGGCGAGAACCCACAGCUCUGGAAGACGCUCUCAGAACAAUACUUCCAGAUGUUCACGGCGCACGAAUCGUACUGGGUUCCAAUGGCGAUCCAGAAUUUCUCAGGACCAGCCGCGAUUUGGUUGCAGUCAGUGCAGCGUAAAAUUGCGGGGCUCAACUGGAGUCGUUCACAGCCUUGUAGAUAAACAUCAGCUAUUAAUUCGCCAGUUCUAUGCUAUCCGUCAGACCAAUUCCGUCGCAGAUUUUAUUGAGCGAUUUGAAACUCUGAUGAAUCAUAUGAUCUCAUACUCUGAACUGACCCAUCCUUAUUUUUUCCUGACGCGAUUCAUUGAGGGACUGCGUGCUGACAUUCGAGCGGUGGUUCUCAUCUAG